rnacentral:rRNA from 1 species
GACGAACGCUGGCGGCGUGCUUAACACGUGCAAGUCGAGCGGUAAGGCCCUUUCGGGGUACGACGAGCGGCGAACGGGUAGGAGUAACACGUGGGUGGACCUCGCCCUCCAGCUCUGGGAGUAAGCCCGGGAAACCGUAGGGUCGUAAUACCGGAGUAUGACUUCAUGACGCAUGUUGUGGAGUGGAAAGCCUUGUGCGGCUGAGGA